rnacentral:rRNA from 1 species
UGGUGGAGCGAUUUGUCUGGUUAAUUCCGAUAACGAACGAGACUCUGGCCUAUUAAAUAGACGAGGUAUUUCACACGUAUCUCGCGCUUCUUAGAGGGACAAGCGGCGUCUAGUCGCAUGAAAAAGAGCAAUAACA